rnacentral:lncRNA from 1 species
CACAAAAAGCAAAACACCUAGCUCGGGAGCCAGACUUCCUGAAUUCAAAAUUGGCUCUCCCACUUACUCCACCAUGUGACACUGGACAAGUCAUGUAACAUCUCCUGGCACAAUUUCCCCACCUGUACAAUAGAGAUAAUAAUCCUAAUGCCUACCAGAAGGUAAUAAAUAAGGAUUAAAUGAGAUAACACAAGUAAAGUCCUUAGAAUGGUGUUUAGAAUUUAGUAAGUCAUGGCUAUUGUUAUGAUUACCUUCUGCCAUGUAAGUGGUGGAAGAACACACAUGAAUAAAUAAAGUUUGGUUGAAUCUGCUUCCCCUGUACCCAUAUUAAUAAAGCACAACAUUGUCUUACUAUCUAAUUGUAGUCUGUGUGCCGGAGAUAUUUCAUGCAAUAGAUCAAAUGUAUUCCCUAUAUUUCCCAGCCUCCCUUCCAGUUAGAUUGAGACCAUGUAGCUGUGAUCUGGUCACUGCACAGGAGAAAGUGAUGAAUGACACUUGUAGGCCCACCUAUAAAGCCUUCAGCUCUCUCUUCCUCAGCCACCACAGCCCUGAAGGCAAUGUGCAGCUAGUGGUGAAGUGACCAUAUGAAGGAGAGCCCUCCACCCGGCAUCAGAAUUUUCAUAAAUGCGAAAUAAAGUCUGUCUUGUGUUAAGCCACUGAGAAUGUGUAGUUUGUUAUUGUAAUACUGCCUAGCAUAAUCCUCAUUACUGCAGUGACCAAAAUGAUGCAUAGCUCCUUGGUAAUGGGCAUUUUUUUAAUUUUUAAUUUUUUAUUUUUUUAUUAUUAUUAUACUUUAAGUUUUAGGGUACAUGUGCACAAUGUGCAGGUUAG